rnacentral:hammerhead_ribozyme from 1 species
UUACUGAUGAGGAGUUCAACAAUAGAACGAAACAACUGUCCAGUGA